CAUAGAUUCUGGUACUGAGAUGACUGUGUAAGUCAAAUUCGAGAUAUAAGUCUAAAUUAUCAAACUUGUAGAAAAACAUGAUUCCAAGGUUGGAGAUGAAUAUGUUAAACCAUCCGAGUUUACACUGGCAUCAGGCAGCUUUCAUUGUUCUGGAAGUGUUCAACAACUAUUUAUAUUGUUAUCGUAUUUGUUUUGUGGUUCGCUAUUGUACAUAGUUUUUUGGGUUUUU
rnacentral:lncRNA from 1 species